rnacentral:rRNA from 1 species
UACGUAGGGCGCAAGCGUUAUCCGGAAUUAUUGGGCGUAAAGCGUCUGUAGGUGGCUUUUUAAGUCCGCCGUCAAAUCCCAGGGCUCAACCCUGGACAGGCGGUGGAAACUACCAAGCUGGAGUACGGUAGGGGCAGAAGGGAAUUUCCAGUGGAGCGGUGAAAUUGCGUAGAUAUUGGAAAGACCACCGAUGGCGAAAGGCA